GAUGAACGCUGGCGGCGUGCUUAACACAUGCAAGUCGAACGAUGAUGCUGGAGCUUGCUCCAGUUGGUUAGUGGCGAACGGGUGAGUAACACGUGAGCAAUCUGCCCUUGACUCUGGGAUAACUGCGGGAAACUGUAGCUAAUACCGGAUACUUUCACCGGAAGGCAUCUUCUGGUGAUGAAAGAAUUUCGGUCAGGGAUGAGCUCGCGGCCUAUCAGCUUGUUGGUGAGGUAACGGCUCACCAAGGCGACGACGGGUAACCGGCCUGAGAGGGUGACCGGUCACACUGGGACUGAGACACGGCCCAGACUCCUACGGGAGGCAGCAGUGGGGAAUAUUGCACAAUGGGCGCAAGCCUGAUGCAGCAACGCCGCGUGAGGGAUGGAGGCCUUCGGGUUGUAAACCUCUUUUAGCAGGGAAGAAGCGAAAGUGACGGUACUUGCAGAAAAAGCACCGGCUAACUACGUGCCAGCAGCCGCAGUAA
rnacentral:rRNA from 1 species